AGAGUUUGAUCCUGGCUCAGGACGAACGCUGGCGGCGUGCCUAAUACAUGCAAGUCGAGCGGAGUUUUAAAGUAGCUUGCUACUUUAAAACUUAGCGGCGGACGGGUGAGUAACACGUAGGUAACCUGCCUGCAAGACCGGGAUAACCUUCGGAAACGAAAGCUAAGACGGGAUACGCAAGAGAGAGGCAUCUUUCUCUU
rnacentral:rRNA from 1 species